GUCAGCUCGUGUUGUGAAAUGUUGGGUUAAGUCCCGCAACGAGCGCAACCCUUAUCCUUUGUUGCCAGCGGUUAGGCCGGGAACUCAAAGGAGACUGCCAGUGAUAAACUGGAGGAAGGUGGGGAUGACGUCAAGUCAUCAUGGCCCUUACGACCAGGGCUACACACGUGCUACAAUGGCGCAUACAAAGAGAAGCGACCUCGCGAGAGCAAGCGGACCUCAUAAAGUGCGUCGUAGUCCGGAUUGGAGUCUGCAACUCGACUCCAUGAAGUCGGAAUCGCUAGUAAUCGUGGAUCAGAAUGCCACGGUGAAUACGUUCCCGGGCCUUGUACACACCGCCCGUCACACCAUGGGAGUGGGUUGCAAAAGAAGUAGGUAGCUUAACCUUCGGGAGGGCGCUUACCACUUUGUGAUUCAUGACUGGGGUGAAGUCGUAACAAGGUAACCGUAGGGGAACCUGC
rnacentral:rRNA from 1 species